UGCACUAAUAGCUACUCAAAGUCUCGUAAAUGAACAGGAGGCAAAUGCCAAGAUUCCUUUUGAUACACAAACCCAAUUUCUGACAACUCAGCAAAAGUAUUCCUCAAAAUAGGCCUCCUCUUCCUCCCCUCCACCUGCCCUCAGUACAUCUCCCUGAAGAGGCAGAAUUUAAUACCUGUCUGAUUGUAACAGCUUUGAAGAGCCUUGAUUCAGCGUGUUCCCUUUCAGGCUGUAUGGCCAUGUUCUAGAAGUAUUCUCUCCUGACGUUUCACCCACAUCUAUGGCAGGCAUCCUCAGAGGUUGUGAGGUUUUGAAGAUUAAUCAAUAAAAGGUUGGCAGAAGCUGGAGCUAACAACAGGAGCUCACCCCGUCUUGCAGAUUUGAACUGCCGACCUUCCAGUCAGCAAAUUUUGUAGCUUGCCGUUUUAACCCACUGCACCACCGCAGCCACAGAUUAAUCAAUAGUAUGUCAUUAAUUUCAACAAAUACUUUAUACCAAUUUUUAAAAAUCUUUUCACACUCCCACCAUAAAUGUAUAUAAGUCCCUGUUUCCUUAUUCCACCUCCAACAAUUUUGUAGGUUGUUUACAUUAUUAGAGUUAUGUACCAGCUCCAAAUUGUUUUAUAACAAUUCUCUUUAAUUAUAACAGACAUAUUUUUCAUAAUUCUUUGUUUCCAAAUUUUUAACUAUUCCUCCUCUGUGAUAUUGAUUUCUAAGUCCCCUUCACGUUUUUUUUUGUUCCGAAUUGUAUUGGAUCACUUUAUAUCAUGAUUUAAUAAUUUUUACUUAUUAAUCCUUUUGUUAUUUCAUCUGUACCAUUCUGCUUUAAUUGUAUUAUUAAUUUUGUUAAUUGUCUGCAUUUCCCAUGUUUUAUUCAAUCUUAUUUCAUGAAUCCAAUUGUAGUACAUUAUAUCCUACUCUGUUUAAAUAUUUCUAAUAUAUCUUCUUUUCUAGAGACUUUAUUUAUCCAGUCUUUUAGUCUUGCUACUCUGGCUCUUUCCAUGUCCUUUGUGAGUUGUGUCUUAAGGUUCUCUGACAUUUUUCCUAGUUCUAUAACUGUAAUCAGUGAUGAUAUUCCAGGAUUAAGUAUUUAUUUUGCCAAAUCUGUAUUUUGGUUCUAUUGAUUGGGUUUUAUCUAUUUCUUUGAGACAUUUAUUAUCUUGAAUAAAAAAAAAUCAAUAGUA